rnacentral:tRNA from 1 species
GCCUGGGUGGCUCAGUCGGUUAAGCGUCUGACUUCAGCUCAGGUCAUGAUCUCGCGGUCUGUGAGUUCGAGCCCCGCGUCAGGCU